rfam:Podospora anserina genomic DNA, chromosome 6.
CUUUUAUGAUGAAAAAAAUAUUUUUCAGUUCUGCUUCUGAAUUAUAAUGAGCGACAACCCUAUACCAAAACUUUUCUGAUGC